rnacentral:rRNA from 1 species
AGUGGACGCAUCACUGGUGUUCGGGUUGUCAUGCCAAUGGCACUGCCCGGUAGCUAAAUGCGGAAGAGAUAAGUGCUGAAAGCAUCUAAGCACGAAACUUGCCCCGAGAUGAGUUCUCCCUGACCCUUUAAGGGUCCUGAAGGAACGUUGAAGACGACGACGUUGAUAGGCCGGGUGUGUAAGCGCAGCGAUGCGUUGAGCUAACCGGUACUAAUGAACCGUGAGGCUUAACCUUAC